AUUGAACGCUGGCGGUAUGCUUUACACAUGCAAGUCGAACGGGCUUUGGGGCUUGCUCCAAAGUUAGUGGCGAACGGGUGAGUAAUAUAUCGGAACAUGUCCGGAAGUGGGGGAUAACGUAGCGAAAGUUACGCUAAUACCGCAUAUGCCCUGAGGGGGAAAGGGGGGGAUCGCAAGACCUCUCGCUUUCGGAGUGGCCGAUAUCGGAUUGGCUAGUAGGUGAGGUAAAGGCUCACCCAGGCGACGAUCCGUAGCUGGUCUGAGAGGACGACCAGCCACACUGGAACUGAGACACGGUCCAGACUCCUACGGGAGGCAGCAGUGGGGAAUUUUGGACAAUGGGCGCAAGCCUGAUCCAGCCAUACCGCGUGAGUGAAGAAGGCCUUCGGGUUGUAAAGCUCUUUCAGCCGGAAAGAAAUCGCACUGGUUAAUACCUUGUGUGGAUGACGGUACCGGAAGAAGAAGCACCGGCUAACUACGUGCC
rnacentral:rRNA from 1 species